UACGUAGGGGGCAAGCGUUGUCCGGAUUUACUGGGCGUAAAGAGCGCGUAGGCGGAAGCUUAAGUGUGGCCUGAAAGCCCCCGGCUCAACCGGGGAGGGUGGCUGCAAACUGGGUUUCUUGAGGGCGGCAGAGGAGAGUGGAAUUCCUGGUGUAGCGGUGAAAUGCGUAGAGAUCAGGAGGAACACCGGUGGCGAAGGCGGGUCUCUGGGCCGAUACUGACGCUGAGGAGCGAAAGCGUGGGGAGCAAACAGG
rnacentral:rRNA from 1 species